AGGUUUAUCAAUAUGGCAUUUCACAUUCAGUCUCCUCUCUACCAACAACCAAAGUCCGACCUGUACACUUUGUCUGAUGACGGCUAUGUGGUCUGCAACGAGGCUAGGAAAAAUCCAACUAACCCAACUAUGAAUUGGGACCUGAAUUUAAGAAGGUAGGCAACUUCUUAAGUCGUAUCAAGUCUAUUCCCAGUAUUGUUGAACUAGACAGCCUAAAGAUCAGUGGUGAUGGUGGUUUGGAUCUGGUAUCACCCUGAAGGACUGGUUCCAAAACUGAGCUUGCUCCAGUUUCAGUUUCAACAGGUUCUCGCACUGAUGCAAUACCAUAUUCUGGGAAAUAUGAUGGGGUAGUUGGCAUGUUGGGUACAAUAGAAGCCAUCAACGUUCUAAAGCGGUAUGUUGGCUAAAUUGGCUUGACUGACUCUUGUUAGCCCUCUUGAAUUCUUAAAUUGUACCAUGGCCCAAAAUUCAAGGUUGCAGUUGUUUGCUGGUUUGCUUUACCUAAAUUUUUCGCUUGUUCGAUGGUAGGUAAUUUUUUUACGGAGUUGGAAUCUUAGAGAAUUGCCUUUCCCCCCUACUCCUUUAUGUGUUUCUUGGAUCCUUGCUUUACUAAUGCUGCUAUGCAAUGGUCUUAAUGCUAAUUUUUUCAUCUUUUUUCCUUGUAUGCUUUGUUCUUUCCCUUAUGUUAAAUAUCUGGCUGUGAUUGUUUGCUGCUUUUUGAUGUUUUAUCUUUUCUGGAGUUUUGUUUGAUUUCUUUUGGAUUUUUCAUAAGAGAUGUUAAAAAGUAGGAACAAGUUUUUGGAUACAAAUCUGGAGAAAGUUUGUGGAGCUUCCCACACAUUCAUUUGGCAACCAAGAUACACGUGAUGCUUUGUCUGCAGCAAUCCACCA